rnacentral:snRNA from 1 species
UUUAGUAAUAGUAGUCUUUCAGGGCCUUCCUUAAGACCCGAAGAAUUAAUUUUUGGAGACCCUUUUCUUUGGAUUAGGGUG